rnacentral:rRNA from 1 species
CAUAAGCGGAGGAAAGAAACCAACAGGGAUUGCCCUAGUAACGGCGAGUGAAGCGGCAACAGCUCAAAUUUGAAAUCUGGCUCUUUCAGAGUCCGAGUUGUAAUUUGCAGAGGGCGCUUUGGCGUUGGCAGCGGUCCAAGUUCUUUGGAACAGGACGUCACAGAGGGUGAGAAUCCCGUACGUGGUCGCUAGCCUUCGCCGUGUAAAGCCCCUUCGACGAGUCGAGUUGUUUGGGAAUGCAGCUCUAAAUGGGAGGUAAAUUUCUUCUAAAGCUAAAUACUGGCCAGAGACCGAUAGCGCACAAGUAGAGUGAUCGAAAGAUGAAAAGCACUUUGGAAAGAGAGUCAAAUAGCACGUGAAAUUGUUGAAAGGGAAGCGCUUGCAGCCAGACUUGCCUGUAGUUGCUUAUCUGGACUUUUGUCCAGUGCACUCUUCUGCGGGCAGGCCAGCAUCAGUUUGGGCGGUUGGAUAAAGGUCUCUGUCAUGUACCUCCUUUCGGGGAGGCCUUAUAGGGGAGACGACAUGCAACCAGCCCGGACUGAGGUCCGCGCAUCUGCUAGGAUGCUGGCGUAAUGGCUGUAAGCGGCCCGUCUUGAAACACGGACCAAGGAGUCUAACAUCUAUGCGAGUGUUUGGGUGUCAAGCCCAGACGCGUAAUGAAAGUGAACGGAGGUGGGAACCCUUUGGGUGCACCAUCGACCGAUCCUGAUGUCUUCGGAUGGAUUUGAGUAAGAGCAUGGCUGUUGGGACCCGAAAGAUGGUGAACUAUGCUUGAAUAGGGUGAAGCCAGAGGAAACUCUGGUGGAGGCUCGCAGCGGUUCUGACGUGCAAAUCGAUCGUCAAAUUUGGGCAUAGGGGCGAAAGACUAAUCGAACUAUCUAGUAGCUGGU